rnacentral:rRNA from 1 species
CGGGCGUGCUUACACAUGCAGUCGAACGAUGAACCACUUCGGUGGGGAUUAGUGGCGAACGGGUGAGUAACACGUGGGCAAUCUGCCCUGCACUCUGGGACAAGCCCUGGAAACGGGGUCUAAUACCGGAUAUUGACCAUCUUGGGCAUCUUUGAUGGUGGAAAGCUCCGGCGGUGCAGGAUGAGCCCGCGGCCUAUCAGCUUGUUGGUGAGGUAAUGGCUCACCAAGGCGACGACGGGUAGCCGGCCUGAGAGGGCGACCGGCCACACUGGGACUGAGACACGGCCCAGACUCCUACGGGAGGCAGCAGUGGGGAAUAUUGCACAAUGGGCGAAAGCCUGAUGCAGCGACGCCGCGUGAGGGAUGACGGCCUUCGGGUUGUAAACCUCUUUCAGCAGGGAAGAAGCGAAAGUGACGGUACCUGCAGAAGAAGCGCCGGCUAACUACGUGCCAGCAGCCGCGGUAAUACGUAGGGCGCGAGCGUUGUCCGGAAUUAUUGGGCGUAAAGAGCUCGUAGGCGGCUUGUCACGUCGGUUGUGAAAGCCCGGGGCUUAACCCCGGGUCUGCAGUCGAUACGGGCAGGCUAGAGUUCGGUAGGGGAGAUCGGAAUUCCUGGUGUAGCGGUGAAAUGCGCAGAUAUCAGGAGGAACACCGGUGGCGAAGGCGGAUCUCUGGGCCGAUACUGACGCUGAGGAGCGAAAGCGUGGGGAGCGAACAGGAUUAGAUACCCUGGUAGUCCACGCCGUAAACGGUGGGGCACUAGGUGUGGGCAACAUUCCACGUUGUCCGUGCCGCAGCUAACGCAUUAAGUGCCCCGCCUGGGGAGUACGGCCGCAAGGCUAAAACUCAAGGAAUUGACGGGGGCCCGCACAAGCGGCGGAGCAUGUGGCUUAAUUCGACGCACGCGAAGAAUCUUACCAAGGCUUGACAUACACCGGAAAGCAUUAGAGAUAGUGCCCCCCUUGUGACGGUGUACAGGUGGUGCAUGGCUGUCGUCAGCUC